UUUCUCUGAAACCCUAGCCACCAUGUUCCUCCUUCUUCAUUACGAUUCAACUCAAUAGCAACCGUGAUCCUCUUUUUUCUUAGUUGUUCUACGAUUCAAACCCUAAAUCGAUUUCCCCAUUCAUCUUUUUCAUAUAUACAAUCAAUGUCGUCGAUCAAUUGAAUGGUUGAAGAAAAUACUAGGUGCCUCUACUUUCAGUUUCUCUCUCAAAACCCUAGAUCAACGAGUGCAAGUUCGUGUUCUUCACUUUCAUAUUCAUCAAUCAAGAACAUAGAAGAAUGAAGGUGUGUUUGUGUGACGGCUGAAUCUGAUACAAUUUUAGGGUUACGCAUGAAGGAGAGGAGGAAGAAAGAUGAACUGUUAAGGGUCGUCUAACACAAAAGAUUUGGGUUUAAGAAUGAUUUUAGAGUUUCGCAUUGUAAUAGAAUUUAAAAAAAUUAUCAUUUGUUAGGUUCAAGAUUAUGUCAGCAUUGUAAUAGAAUUUAAAAAAAAAAUUCAUCGUCAAGUUUGUUAGGUUCAAGAUUAUGUCGGCUGAUGUAGUUCUGAAUCUUUUUUACCUUUGCAAGAUUAUGAUUGGUCAUUGUUUUAAUUGUUGGGGGAGUUAAAACUUUAAUUGUUGGGGGAGUUAAAACUAAUCGAUUUUGAUAUAGUAAAAGAGGCUCGAGGUGCUGGUAUUGGAGUUAUAAAGAGUUUUAUAGUUAUUGUGAAGAACAACACACUCAAGAUUCAACUUUACUGGGCUGGAAAAGGCUCUACUGGAAUUCCAAUGAGAGGAAGUUAUGGUCCCAUUAUAUCAGCUAUAUCAGUUGACCCGAUUUGCUCAUAGGAAAUGUAUUCAGAAAUAGUGCAACAAGAAAGGGGAUAUAACCUGUGAGAUUUGCAAUCAGGCAUGCAUGGGGCCCGCAAAUUGAUCUCCGGGAUGCUCACUUCUUGGCUUUUGUUUCUGAGAAUCAGUUUCUUGAACCGGAUUUUGAUGAUUACGGUGUAUGAAGUAAUAACAGCAUUGCGUACCUCCGGUUUAUGGCUCUCUUUGCUUUGCUGGUCACAAGAGACCUUCGGAUGUUGCCAGAAGGCUCGUAAGGAGACAAUUGUUAUAGAGGAGGGCUGCGGCGAAAGUUAGGGUUCUGAUGGGUGUGUCUAUGGCGGCUUAGCGGCCGUGGCAUCAACAAUCGGUAGCUUGGUGGUAUGUUUUGGUACUUUAAUUUUGUGUAUGGGUUUUGUUUUGGUGUUGUUUUUGGACUUUAGUUUUGUGGGUGGUUGGUUUAAGCUGAGGGUUGCUGGGUUGAGGAUUAUGGUGGUAUAUGUUUGAUUUUGGGAUUAAUAGUCAGUUUUCCGUUUUUUUUGGUUGAUUAAUUGUUAAACACUAUUCAAAUCCUAUUUGUUGUGCAAGAAUCGGGGUCUACUAUGAUGUUAUUCUAGGUCACAACCUCUUUGAUUACGGUUUGCGAUUUAUCAUUGACAAAUGUGUUCGGAUAAACGAUUUAUAAUUAGUUUUUCGUUUAUUCAAUCUUCUCUGUAAUCAGUUUAAUCUGUUCAUGCUUGUGAUGAUGAAAAUGGGGCGGUAGGGAGCCUUGAAGCGGUGGCAGUUCGUGGUGGUGGGUUAAAGCCGAAGAGGGGGAGAUGGGUGGAGAUUGUGCAGGUGCAUGGUUGCAUACCGAAGGUACAGAACUGCAGACAGAAAUGACAAGAAAGAAAGCCUGAGUCGUGAGUUCGUGACCCUGACUUAUCAACGGUCAUGAACCUUUUAGGGAUGAAAAAUGAUGUGGUUAAGGUGGCUGAUUUCGGUGUUGCAAGAGUGAAGGCUCAGACUGGUGUAAUGACAGCAGAAACCGGGACAUAUCGGUGGAUUUCUCCUGAGGGAAGUAUUAGUAUAUUGAUGCUAUGCUAGAAGGAGACCGUGUGAUAGUGGACAUAGAUUCACAUCAGAGUUUGAAAUUGCAAGAUCCACCAAAAGCUACAGAACGGUUCUUUAAAUGCUUCCUCAUAUAACUGUGAUAUGACCCGAUCGUCGGCAGAAUAUCCUCAACAUAGUUUCUGAUGCUGCAAAACAGAGCUUAAAGAAGAAAGGAAUGCCUCUGUCCCCUUAGUGAAGAGCCGAUUAUGUUAAAGACUUAAAGCUAAAUGGCUCUCUCCUUGCAAUCGAAUGCUCAACAAUCCGACUAAUGAUAAGAAUAACCAAUCUUUUACUGAAAUUGCAAGCAAAUCUAACCAGAUUCCAGACGCGAAAGACCUGAUUUUGAUGGAUGAGUUUGAAGAUAUUGGAGGAGGUAUAGAGGAAGCUAUGAAACAUUGGGAGCUAUUAGAGAUUAAACCAAAGUUUCUAUAAUAAUUAUGGGGCGUGGGGAUAGUGGGUAAAUCUGUCUUGGUGCUUCGGUGCAUGGCACAAAGUCUCAGGCCUGUUUGUCUGUGUGGAUGAAAAGCGCUUUGUGCAUGGCGCAAAGUCUUAGCCUAUUUGGUAUGCUAGAGUUUUUGGCUGGUUUUUGAAGAUGAUUCAGAAGACUACAAGUGAAAAAUUAACUUGUGGAUGACAAGAUGGUAGACCUCAUGGAUGCUCAUAAGUUUGACUGUUUUUUUUAGAUUAUAUGGAUCUUAGUUGAUUCAAAUUUGACGCUGAGAAGUAAAAAAG
rnacentral:lncRNA from 1 species